UGGGUCGCUCUUUGACGAAACGGCCGGCGGGCGCUAGGACCCGUGGGUCGGGGAAGGCGUGGAAGGUUCUGGACAAGCGCUCGCCCGCUCCGCGGGCCUACCGCUGCAGCAGGGAGACACGGCACGGCACGGCCCGGCCAGCGAUGCAAGGUGCAGCUCCAUCACCGCCCAUGUGGCCGCCCGCACUCCGGCACCUUUCAGCCACUUAGCUCAGCAGGCCCCGAAGAAAACCUCGCCGCGGAAAAUGCGGAGCCAAUGAAUGGAAUUGUAUAUAAGCACUGAAUAUGGAUAGCACUGGCCUAGAUUGCAAAGCUCAACCAUCAAUUUUCAAUGUUCGGGCUCAUAUACAGCCCAAUGCAAAAUCCCGUAGGAUCGUUGGGGACCCGACUCAACCCGAGUCACCCCAACCACAAUCUAUUCCAGCUGCUACCAUCCGGGAAACGGUACUGCAACAUAAAAGCCAGGACCACCAGGCUCCGGGACAGCUUCUUCCACCAGGCCAUCAGACUGAUUAACUCAUGUUGAUUUGAGUGUAUUCUAUGUUACAUUGACUGUUAUAUUUAUUAUAAAUUACUAUGAUUGCACAUUGCACAUUUAGAUAGAGGCAUAAUGUAAAGAUUUUUACUGCUCAUGUACUGUAUGGGAAGAAUGUAAG